CACAGGAUGUUUACGAACGUACAGUAAAACGUCACUAGUUAAGUCUUUUAGACCAGAGGAACACCUAAAAAAAAUAACUAGGAAAAACAGGAAACUAUGUUUAUUCGUCCAUCUUCUGUAAUCGCUUCGUUCUGGUCAGCCUAUCCUGGAAACACUAUAUUUAUCUCCACAUGGGCAUCUGCUGCAAUCGCUCGAUCUUCAUUAUCACAUUUAUGCUGAUGAUACCCAAAUCUAUAUUCAUUCAAAAUCUGGUUCCCGUCAUCUCAAAGCUGGUCCACUGUCUCUGUUGAUGGCUCUGUUCUAGAGACUCGAAGGAAAAUAAGGAAGCUUGGAUGUGUCCUGCUUUCUGAAAAGGCGGGAAUGUCAGGAACAUUUACCGUCCAACAGGAGUUACAGCGACAUUAAAAUCAGCAGAUGACACAUCAAAUCUAAAAUAUUGAGCCUCACUUGGAUGGACAUGGUCUGUGGUCAGAAUUGAGUGAUUCUAGGUAGUGGUAGAUCAACAUCCGAAAAACCACAAAUGGUUAUUGCAGUAAUCUCUUCGUAUGAUUGCUAUUUCAUGACACAAAUCUGAACAAAUACAAAAACCAUAUGAGUCAAGCUGUUCCUUUCUUCUGAGGCGCCCAGGGAUCCCUUUUCUCCUCAAGGCAAAUCUGGAAAUAUCAGCACAACUGUAUAGGAGUACAAAUGAUUUCACAUAUGUAAUAUAGUUUUUAUAUAUGGUUCACAAGUGAAGGCAUGGAUCAUAAGAGUCACAACGAAAAACUCACACACAAAGCGAGACCUGCAGUUAAACACACACACAAAUGUCACAUCUGGAAUUAUUAUCAGAGAUUUGGGAAAGCUUACUAAAUAUAAUUAAUUCAUCACUCAGCUUUUAAAAAACAAGUUUUUAAAUAUAGCUAUUAUUUAUUUAUUCAUUUAUUUAAUGUCCAACACACCCUUUUCUAUCAAAGAAUGUGGCGAAAGCUGUUAUCCAAAUGCUCUGCUCUUUUCUAAGUGUGAAUAACAAGCAUGUGUGGAUUGCUGAAUCAUCAUAAUAUAGAAUCAGCACUACUGACCUGAUAUUAUAUACUCCCCUCUGAAACUAUUGGAAUGGCAAUGCCAAUUCAUUUGCUUUUGCUGUAGACUGAAGACAUGAGGAAAAAUCAAUCAGAGGCAUUGCACAAACAGUGAACAUAACCACUACAACAAUUUGGAAUGUCCUGAAAAAGAAAGAAACCACUGAUGUACUGAGCAAC
ensembl:lncRNA